rnacentral:ncRNA from 1 species
UAGCGGUGGAAUGCGCAGAUAUCAGGAGGAACACCGAUGGCGAAGGCAGAUCUCUGGGCCGUAACUGACGCUGAGGAGCGAAAGGGUGGGAGCAAACAGGCUUAGAUACCCUGGUAGUCCACCCCGUAAACGUUGGGAACUAGUUGUGGGGACCAUUCCACGGUUUCCGUGACGCAGCUAACGCAUUAAGUUCCCCGCCUGGGGAGUACGGCCGCAAGGCUAAAACUCAAAGGAAUUGACGGGGACCCGCACAAGCGGCGGAGCAUGCGGAUUAAUUCGAUGCAACGCGAAGAACCUUACCAAGGCUUGACAUACACCAGAACGGGCCAGAAAUGGUCAACUCUUUGGACACUGGUGAACAGGUGGUGCAUGGUUGUCGUCAGCUCGUGUCGUGAGAUGUUGGGUUAAGUCCCGCAACGAGCGCAACCCUCGUUCUAUGUUGCCAGCACGUAAUGGUGGGAACUCAUGGGAUACUGCCGGGGUCAACUCGGAGGAAGGUGGGGAUGACGUCAAAUCAUCAUGCCCCUUAUGUCUUGGGCUUCACGCAUGCUACAAUGGCCGGUACAAAGGGCUGCAAUACCGUGAGGUGGAGCGAAUCCCAAAAAGCCGGUCCCAGUUCGGAUUGAGGUCUGCAACUCGACCUCAUGAAGUCGGAGUCGCUAGUAAUCGCAGAUCAGCAACGCUGCGGUGAAUACGUUCCCGGGUCUUGUACACACCGCCCGUCAAGUCAUGAAAGUCGGUAACACCUGAAGCCGGUGGCCCAACCCUUGUGGAGGGAGCCGUCGAAGGUGGGAUCGGUAAUUAGGACUAAGUCGUAACAAGGUAGCCGUACCGGAAGGUGCGGCUGGAUCACCUCCUUU